rnacentral:rRNA from 1 species
UUAUCCUACGGGGGGCAGCAGUGGGGAAUAUUGCACAAUGGGGGGAACCCUGAUGCAGCGACGCCGCGUGGGCGAUGGAGUAUUUCGGUAUGUAAAGCCCUCUCGGCAGGGAAGAAACUGACAGUACCUGACUAAGAAGCCCCGGCUAACUACGUGCCAGCAGCCGCGGUAAUACGUAGGGGGCAAGCGUUAUCCGGAUUUACUGGGUGUAAAGGGGGCGCAGACGGCAAUGCAAGCCAGGAGUGAAAGCCCGGGGCCCAACCCCGGGACUGCUCUUGGAACUGC